CAAUGGUGUGAGGAGUUAUGGACAUGCCAUGGUACAGACAUGGAUAUGUUAUGGACAUGCCUUGGAUUAAGAUGAGAUGACCCUUGCUGAAUUGAAGGAGAGAGAUGAACACCUACAAAUAUGAAGAUCCAUGAGAAUAUUCACAGACAAUCUUGAUGCAAAUAGCUUUCAUACAUGUACCCAGAAGACAUAAUUUAAAAUAGAUCCAUACUUUUAGAUCCACUGAGAACCCUGCCCGGAUAAUGCACUAUCAAAACAAACAACACCUUGAAAAUGCACUACCACAUUUUCCAACAUUAUUUUGAAAAGGCCAAAGGCAUAAGAUACCAAAGCAUUCCCCACCAGCCUUAAAACAUGCAGCAGACGUCCGAAUAGGAUCAGAGAAACCUGUAGAAAAGAUGUUAAAUUCCAAUAAGAAUUAAAACAAUUGUCUCAUAUAAAGAAUC